CCGGCAGAGAAGGGAGAGGACCGCAGCCAGCCCUUGGAAGUUGGAAGACAAGGCUAAGUUUUCCACUCUCCACUCAAGGCCUCGCCUUCUGAGGGAGAAAGCUCUUUGGGGCCACUGUCACCCCCAUCAGAGCCCUGGGCCAAAGGGAGAGAGCAGUCCAGGACAGGGAACGGCAGGAUUGCUGAGCUGCUCCCGUAUGGUGCCAGAGGGCCCAGGGGUCGGCAUCCCCAGGGACCCCACAGCCAACCCCACCCGUGAGAGCUGACAGCAGCCUCUGGAUGUACUCCUGUGAAUCUGGAAGGGGAGAGAAUCACAGACGAUGGAAUUUCAACAAGGACGAUUUCUGUCUUUUGCAAAGACCCUUCUAUUAGCAGGUGAGUAAUCACAUCUUGGCCUCAAGAAGGCCUCAAUGUUUCCUAUAAUGCUUCUGGGUUUUUAUUUCAUCAAAGUUCAAAACAGUGGGUGAGGCGUUAGAAAGGGAGUGUGGGUCUCUAUAUCGACAGCGAGCAAACAUGGGCGAGCAGGAAGGAGCAAGCAGCAUGAUCACGGCUCCGGCUCCUUCCCAGGUUCUGUCCCCAGGCCUGGGAGGGGUGGGUGGCCCCUAAUACUUCAGCUACAAAAGAUUCUCCUUGCUGACCCCCACCCCUCCCCCUGCCCACGGA
rnacentral:lncRNA from 1 species